CCACCCUGCUCCACUGAUUGAACCUAACGGUGCCUGCAGAGACCCUGAUUCCAUAUGGGACCCUCGGGGCUCCAGGAGCCUAGGAUGUGAAAACCAGCAGGAGGCCUGGGAGGCAGAGGCAGCCACAGCCACAAGCUGGCGUCUUCCACCCUCUGUCCCUGGUGUGGGCAUAGACACAGAAGCUGUGAGAUGGGGCGUCUCUCCCUGAGCACGGCACCUCAGGGGGCUGUAAAUGUUACAGAGGAAAAAGGAGACUGGAAGAGGAAGUAAUGGUGAGUGGAGGAUUUGUAGCUCAGGUGGCCAGAGAAAGGGAGGGAGAUUGAAGGAGUGAACACGCACUAUGCAGGGAGCAGCGUUCUGGG
ensembl:lncRNA